UACGUAGGGUGCGAGCGUUAAUCGGAAUUACUGGGCGUAAAGCGUGCGCAGGCGGUUCGUUAAGUUCGUCGUGAAAGCCCCGGGCUCAACCUGGGAAUGGCGAUGGAAACUGGCGGGCUGGAGUGCGGCAGAGGGGGGUGGAAUUCCACGUGUAGCAGUGAAAUGCGUAGAGAUGUGGAGGAACACCGAUGGCGAAGGCAGCCCCCUGGGCCGACACUGACGCUCAGGCACGAAAGCGUGGGGAGCGAACGGG
rnacentral:rRNA from 1 species